AUAAUAGGGUGCAAAUAUUACAUGGUCCAUGAGGCCAUAAUAAAAUUUUCCGCAGAGGCAGGCCAUUUAUUGCAUCUGUUCCACCUGUGUAAUACGUUGGAUAAUGACAGAUAGAGAGGGGUGGUCGCGCCAACUCAGCUAUCAUCUUCAUCAUUUUUGCUUUAAUUCUUCCUUACUUAUUAGGGAGAAGGUCCGGCCGGAUCUACUAUUCAUUGUAGGGCAAUUGGCAUCCAAAACGCAUAUAUCUAUUCGAACGCCUCCUUCUCCUCCUCCUCUUUUUUGAAUUCAACAAUCACACACUACACUUUUCAAAUUAAUCUGCUUCAUCGAUCGACUCUGCAACCAGUAAUAGGUCAUUAUAUCAUUGAAGUAAAGGCUCAUUUGGCCUGUCUUUUCUGGCUCAUUCUGUCUCUCCUCCCUCAUAGCAAAAACAUAAAGCAUUCAUGCAAGGAAAUUACUACAGAGUCUGAAAAAGAUCUUGGUGACACUGCUGCCACUGCACCUGUCACAUCUACAGAUAAUGAAGCAAAGACAAAAAAGAAAAAGAAAAAGGGACUAUUAUCAAGAAUAUGGAAUAGUCUAUUUGGUUCACAUAAAGAUGACUUUGAGAAGAGAUUGCAACAUAUUUCCAAAGAGGAGGCUGCUGUUAUUGCCAGAACAGUAAAACGAUCUCAUAGUUGGAGAAGGAUGAGUAGGCAUCUCAUUAUAAUUUCUGUACUUCUUGAGGUAAUGCUACCAUUUUUGUAUUCUACUAUCUAAGGCGUCCUGAAUAAAAGAAACAAGAGCCUGAAACUCUUUAUACUGAAAAUUAUCUGUCUUUCCAAAGAUUUUGAAUUGUUUUUUUUUUUUAAAUAAAAAAAAAAUUACCUAUC